rnacentral:hammerhead_ribozyme from 1 species
AUCCAGCUGACGAGUCUGAAAUAGAAUGACACGCACGUCCUGGAU